rnacentral:rRNA from 1 species
UACGUAGGGUGCGAGCGUUAAUCGGAAUUACUGGGCGUAAAGCGUGCGCAGGCGGUUCCGCAAGUCAGAUGUGAAAUCCCCGGGCUCAACCUGGGAACUGCAUUUGAAACUACGGGGCUAGAGUGUGUCAGAGGGGGGUGGAAUUCCACGUGUAGCAGUGAAAUGCGUAGAGAUGUGGAGGAACACCAAUGGCGAAGGCAGCCCCCCUGGGAUGACACUGACGCUCAUGCACGAAAGCGUGGGGAGC